GACGAACGCUGGCGGCGUGCCUAAUACAUGCAAGUAGAACGCUGAGGUUUGGUGUUUACACUAGACUGAUGGGUUGCGAACGGGUGAGUAACGCGUAGGUAACCUGCCUCAUAGCGGGGGAUAACUAUUGGAAACGAUAGCUAAUACCGCAUAAGAGUAAUUAACACAUGUUGGUUAUUUAAAAGGAGCAAUUGCUUCACUGUGAGAUGGACCUGCGUUGUAUUAGCUAGUUGGUGAGGUAAAGGCUCACCAAGGCGACGAUACAUAGCCGACCUGAGAGGGUGAUCGGCCACACUGGGACUGAGACACGGCCCAGACUCCUACGGGAGGCAGCAGUAGGGAAUCUUCGGCAAUGGACGGAAGUCUGACCGAGCAACGCCGCGUGAGUGAAGAAGGUUUUCGGAUCGUAAAGCUCUGUUGCUAGAGAAGAACGUUGGUAGGAGUGGAAAAUCUACCAAGUGACGGUAACUAACCAGAAAGGGACGGCUAACUACGUGCCAGCAGCCGCGGUAAUACGUAGGUCCCGAGCGUUGUCCGGAUUUAUUGGGCGUAAAGCGAGCGCAGGCGGUUCUUUAAGUCUGAAGUUAAAGGCAGUGGCUUAACCAUUGUACGCUUUGGAAACUGGAGGACUUGAGUGCAGAAGGGGAGAGUGGAAUUCCAUGUGUAGCGGUGAAAUGCGUAGAUAUAUGGAGGAACACCGGUGGCGAAAGCGGCUCUCUGGUCUGUAACUGACGCUGAGGCUCGAAAGCGUGGGGAGCAAACAGG
rnacentral:rRNA from 1 species